rnacentral:rRNA from 1 species
AUUGAACGCUGGCGGCAGGCCUAACACAUGCAAGUCGAGCGGUUGGCGGGAGCUUGCUCCCUGAUUCAGCGGCGGACGGGUGAGUAAUGCCUAGGAAUCUGCCUAUUAGUGGGGGACAACGUUUCGAAAGGAACGCUAAUACCGCAUACGUCCUACGGGAGAAAGCAGGGGACCUUCGGGCCUUGCGCUAAUAGAUGAGCCUAGGUCGGAUUAGCUUGUUGGUGAGGUAAUGGCUCACCAAGGCGACGAUCCGUAACUGGUCUGAGAGGAUGAUCAGUCACACUGGAACUGAGACACGGUCCAGACUCCUACGGGAGGCAGCAGUGGGGAAUAUUGGACAAUGGGCGAAAGCCUGAUCCAGCCAUGCCGCGUGUGUGAAGAAGGUCUUCGGAUUGUAAAGCACUUUAAGUUGGGAGGAAGGGUUGUAGAUUAAUACUCUGCAAUUUUGACGUUACCGACAGAAUAAGCACCGGCUAACUCUGUGCCAGCCGCCGCAGUAA